UACGAAGGGAGCUAGCGUUGUUCGGAAUCACUGGGCGUAAAGCGCACGUAGGCGGAUUUGUUAGUCAGGGGUGAAAUCCCGGGGCUCAACCUCGGAACUGCCUUUGAUACUGCAGAUCUAGAGUCCGAUAGAGGUGGGUGGAAUUCCUAGUGUAGAGGUGAAAUUCGUAGAUAUUAGGAAGAACACCGGUGGCGAAGGCG
rnacentral:rRNA from 1 species